UACGGAGGGUGCAAGCGUUGUCCGGAUUAUUGGGCGUAAAGAGCGUGUAGGCGGCCAGGUAGGUCUGCUGUGAAAGCUCGAGGCUCAACCUCGAGACGUCGGCGGAAACCAUCUGGCUAGAGUCCGGAAGAGGAGAGUGGAAUUCCUGGUGUAGCGGUGAAAUGCGCAGAUAUCAGGAGGAACACCAAUGGCGAAGGCAGCACUCUGGGACGUGACUGACGCUGAGACGCGAAAGCGUGGGGAGCAAACAGG
rnacentral:rRNA from 1 species